AUAGAGAAAAGAGGGAAACGAGAUUCAUACCAAAGAAGACCCCGCUCUGCAUUUUCAUCUCUCUCAUCUGUGGCCUCUGCUUCUCCGCGACCACCUCCACGAAUCUCCCCCACCAUUUUCAUCUCUGCUCGCCAACUCCUCUUUUACUUUCUCUAUUUUCGAUUCUCAUUAUCAUAUCUUCCUGGAGACUACAAAUUACUCCUUGUUGAGCACCCAGCAUACCACUAAUCGUAAGAAUCGUCUUCCAGAAAAUGUGUACAGUUGCAGACGCUGCGAAACGAGGAAACGAGUCGAACAGGGUGGUUGAUCUAACCCCUCCAUCCACUCCCAGUCUGCCAUUGUUGCCUCUGCCGCCGCUCAACCACGCCAAUACGUGGAGUUCAUUGCACAUCUAUUGAAAAUUGCCAAUGAUGCUGCAGAGAAUGAAUUGGUCAGCACCGAAACCAUCUUGACAAGUCAUUGAUCUUUUCUUUGAAUGCAACUUGGGGUGGAUGGAACCCACUCGGACAACUUGCCUGGGACACAACCAUCGCUAUAAGUGAAUGCAGUAUGGGAACUGGUUGAUGAGUAGAAGUAGAGCCUUGGUUGCUGAUCCUUACCACCACAAGAUGUAGAUGGUUAAAUUGUUGUCAGAUGUUUUUGGUUCCCAGGAUGCAUGGUUUUGGGUUGUAUAUGAUGUAAUUAAGAAUUAUUUACUUUUGGGGGUGGUGCUUGUGCGCUGCUAUCAUUAAGUUGGUACUCUUCUUCUACUUCUUGAUUUAUACAAAUGUAUUGUUACAUGGUUGCUUU